UACGAAGGGGGCUAGCGUUGCUCGGAAUCACUGGGCUUAAAGGGCGCGUAGGCGGGUUCCCAAGUCGGUGGUGAAAUCUUUCGGCCCAACCGGAAAACAGCCGCCGAUACUGGGAGUCUUGAGGGAGGUAGGGGUCGAUGGAACUUCCGGUGGAGCGGUGAAAUGCGUAGAUAUCGGAAGGAACGCCGGUGGCGAAAGCGAUCGACUGGACCUUUCUGACGCUGAGGCGCGAAAGCCAGGGGAGCAAACGGG
rnacentral:rRNA from 1 species